ensembl:lncRNA
CCUGAACAUACCCAUUAUUAAAAUGGGAAUAUUUCUAAAUUCCAAAAGUAUGCUGAUCCGCUGUCUUGAUAACAGGGAACAAAGGGAGGGUGAUAUACCAAAAAGAGGAGAAUGAGGGGGUGAUAUACCAAAAAGAGGAGAAUGAGGGGGUGAUAUACCAAAAAGAGGAGAAUGAGGGGGUGAUAUACCAAAAAGAGGAGAAUGAGGGAGUGAUAUACCAAAAAGAGGAGAAUGAGGGGGUGAUAUACCAAAAAGAGGAGAAUGAGGGGGUGAUAU